rnacentral:lncRNA from 1 species
UCUCCAACACCUGACUCUGCACAAAAAUAUGCAGAAGUGUAGUAUGAGUACACCACGGUCGGUACCCACUAAGUAUCAAGACUAACCUCAGUGGAGUGGAGACGAGGUAUAGUCAAGACACUCACUUAUUUAAUAACAUGUGCAAUAUAAUAUACAAAAUAAUGGGAAACAAAUAACAAUAAGGGCAACAUAAAUCAAACAGUGAUAUGCACAACAAGACAACAAGAACACCAUUAAUAUUGCUCAUCAAAUAAUAAAUACAAGUACACCCAAUUAAAUCAAGUCCUUCAAAUAAAUAUCUUUCAACUAUAAUUUCCUCAAAUAAAUAUCUUUCAAAUGCAAAUUCUUUCAUAUAAUACUUUUUGAAUAAAAAUCCUUCCAAAUAAAUAUUUUGAAUAUAAUUCUUUCAAUUAAAAGUCACCAUGUGACACCACAUUUCAUAAUCAUAAAAAUACGGGUCUCAGCCCUUUUUCAUAUUUUUUGCAAAUACGGGUCUCAGCCCACUUUCAUAUUUCAACGGCACUUCGUGCCCAAAAUUAAAUCAUCAUAUUUUUCUUGCACCUCGUGCCCAUGUUUCAUAUCCCAAUUGCACGGAUGAUUCACGUGCCAAUAUCAUCAUUAUUUACUCACGGCACCUCGUGCCCAUAUUUCAUUUCAUAAUCCACCUGGCAAUAACCACAGGCUCCCAUUUUUAACAUAGAUUAGACUAUUAUCAAGUUUACCGAAACAAUAAGACAAAUUUCACAAGAUAAAAAAAAAAUACAAGAAAGAUCACAACAUCACAUAGAAAUUACCAACACAAUAACUCCACAUCGUCAUAUAUCAUCCCUGACAAUAGCCACCCUUAUCUCUCCUAUAGCCACCUUUAUCACUCUUAUAAUAGCCUCAAUUAUCCCUCUGCCCUGACUAUAUCAAUAGCCACCCUUAUCGCUCAUAUAGCCACCAUAUCACUCCAAUGGCCAUCCUUAUCGCUCCUAUAGCCACCCUUAUCGCUCCGCCCAGACAAUAUCCCAACACACAUAACAACAGUGAAAUGCCUCCCUUUUACCCACAUAAUAUCAACAGUAAAACACCACCCUUAUAUCCUCAAAAUGAUAACUCAAUUAACACAAUAAUUUACACGAAAUAUUAUCACGACAACGUACCAAAAUCAAUUCAUAUCACAAUUUGCCUGAUGGCCACAACCAAUUCCAAGGAUAUAACAAAAUUAAUUAAUUUUACAACAAUCAGCCCAAUGCUCCACACAAAAACUCAAAAACAAUCAACAGAGAUAGAAAACAAUCAACAUAGGGCACACCUUCAUUAAUCCAAAUUUAGAUAAUUAUAUUAACACUUCUUCUUAAGCUUGCUUAAUUAAUUAUUUGCAUAGAAAAAAUUCAUAAUGAAAUUAAACUCCAAGAAAUAUCAAACCAUCAAACUCACGGAAUUCACAUAAGUAUACAAGUAAUAAUUACAUCGAAUUGUCAUAUAAAAACAACUUCAAUAAUUGUAAUUUAUGGCAUGGCAAUUAGAUGAUUAAAUAUUACAUAAUGUGCCAACAAUUAUACAAUUUAUUACAUAAUAUGCCCAAGACUUUAACUCAAUAAAUUUUUCACAUAUAAGCCCGAGUACGUACUCAUCACCUCGCGUACACGGCUUUUCACAUUUCACAAAUGGCACAUAUAACUCGAUGCCUAAGGGGUAUUUCCCCCACUCGAGGUUAGGCAAUACACUUACCUUUUUGAAAUAAUGCCGAUAUUCCAAAAUCGCCUUCUUGCUUGAAUUAACCUCCGGACAACUCAAAUCUAUCCAAAUUAAUUGUACAACUUCAUUAAAAUUCAUCGAAAAUAAAUUCCGGAUAAUAAAACGUCGACUUGAAAAUUUAUUCUAAAAAGUCAACAAACGUCAACGCGGGGCCCGCCCCUCGAAAGCCGACAUAAGUUUUACGAAAUACGAACACCCAUUCCGAUACGAGUCCAACCAUACCAAUUUUAUCGAAUUCCAAUAACAACUCGACCUCCAAAUCUUAAAUUUUCAUUUUUAGAAGAUUUUGCAAAAAUCUUGAUUUCCUCCAUUAAAAUCCGAAUUAAAUGAUGAAUAUAACCAUAGAUUCAUGAAAUAUAAUCACUUUAGGAUGUAGAAAACUUACCCCAGUCGAAGUCAUGAAGCAACCCUCAAAAUCGCCCAAGAACUGAGCUCAAAAAUCAAUUUUUGUGUUAUGAACUCAAACCCUCGAUUUGGAACUUAACACUAUCUACUCAGAUUUCCUUAUUCGCGAACGUGACCGUCCUCUCGCGUUUGUAUAGACCAACUUGACUUCCUCUCCACUUUACUCUUCGCGAACGCGACACAUGACUCGCGAACGUGAUACUUUACUAGAUCAGACCUUCGGGAAUGCGACCACAACCUCGCGAACGCGUAGAACAAGGACAUGGGGUCCCCAACUGCCUCACUCCUCUUCGCGAACGCGACACUGCCCUUCGCGAACGCGAACGCGUCCUCCCCUUCGCGAACGUGAAGAACAAAAUCUCACCACUCAGAAAACACUCUCUGCGAAUGCGAGGGCCCACUCGCGAACGUGAAAGAGGAAACCAAAAGAAUGCAGCACCAGAUAUCAGCAAUCUCACCAAGGUUAAAUAUGAUCUGUUAACCACCUGAAACUCACUCGAGGCCCUCGGGACCUCAACCAAAUAUACCAACGCGUCUCAUAACAUCAUACGAACUUAGUCGAACCUUCAAAUCACCUUCAACAACACCAAAAAUACGAAUUACACACGGAUUCAAGCCUAAUGAACUUAGAAAUUUCUGAAUUCCACAAACCACGUCCGAAUUACCUCAAAUUUUGCACAAAAGUCAGAAAUGACACAACGAAGCUAUUCAAAUUUCCAGAAUUGGAUUCUGACCCUGAUAUCAAAAAGUCAACCCCUCAGUCAAACCUCCCAAAAAAUUCAUCUUUCGUCAUUUCAAGCCUAAUUCCACUACAUACCUCCAUAAAAUUUUCCGGACAUGCUCCUAAGUUCAUAAUCACCAUACGGAGCUAUUGACAUCAUCAAAAUUCCAUUGUGGAGUCGUUUGCUCAAAAGUCAACUCUCCGAUCAACUCUUUCCAUUUAAGCUUCUAAAUAAGGAUUGUUCUUUUAAUUUAAUUCUGAAUCUUCAAUAAUUCAAACUCGACCACACCCGCGGGUCAUAAUACAUAUUGCAAAGCUGCUCGAGACCUUAAGUCACUGAACGAGGCAUAAUUCUUAAAAUGACAAGUCGGGUCGUUAUAUUCUCCACCUCUUAAACAAAUGUUCGUCCUCGAACGUGCUAUGAAUUAUUCUGAGGUUACCAAAUUGAUGAUUUUUCUUUUACACAUAUACUCGCGGUUGAUCCCACAUUACCGCAUUUGAGAUAAGCCCGACAACACCAUCUCAUUUGAGAUUAUUUUAUUUUAUCCAUAUUUGUAAACUUUAAGACCAAUUUCUUACACUCCAAACAUUUUCAAAAGGCCUGAUUUUUACAUCAACGUAUGGUGUUAGUCUCAACUGGCUAUAGAAACUCGUGCCUACGCACACAUCAACUUUCUUGAUAGUGUUGAAGUACUUUAAAAAAAAUUUGGGGUGUUACAUUAUCCCCCGCUUAGGAUCACUCGCCCUCAAACACAUAACAUAACUUAUCUCUUCUUUUGCAUGUCUCAAUCCCCCAAAUUUUACUAACUCCCAAAUUUUUCAAAAAUUUCGGCAGAGUCUCCCUUGUAAUUGGACAUAUCCACCUGGCAGAGUAACACCAAAACAACUCCUAACAGCACAUUCACAACCCAAAAAAGCAUCACAGUGUAUAUAUCGAUAACACUAAUCUCAGCGUUACAAGCAUUGCGUUAUCAUAAUGAUAUCAGGACAUGAAGCACAUCAUAUGUAUGCCUAUCACCACAUCUCUGGUCUUAAAAGCUGUUCAUAAUUAAUUCCAGCAUCAUCAAUUAAUCUCAUAUUAACCAACACCUCGUUUCGAAUUUUUACAACACUGACAAUAGAAUGUGAGGCAUGAAGACCUCAUAACUAUUUACCCGACUUAACGAGUCACAUUUAACGCCACCUAGGCACUCGCCUCGUAGGCUAAAACUCAAUAAUUACAGCACAAUUAUGGCACAGAAACACAUAAAAGAAUUAUCACAUAAGCCUAUCAGGCAUAACUCCCUAUUAGUACUAUAGUACAAAUUAAACUUCACAAAGGGAGAAUUUAAACUCAUAAAUAUUUCACCACAAGGACCUCAUUCUUAUAUAACUUCCACCGUGGCUUGUAGCCCGAUUUAAAUAUUUCACAUCAUAUAUAAAAAGAAAAUGCGAGGAUCUCGUCCUCAACUCUGAAUCGCUAGUAUUAUGCACAUUGUGCCAACUAAAAUUUUAAUUUCCUUUCUUUCUUAUUUUCAAUAAAUUUCGUAAAUAUUUUUCAUAACACAUAAUGAACCCUCAUACCACUAGGGCAUAUAAUUCAUAAAAUUGGAAUCAAUUAUUUCGAAACACAUCAAACCCACUGUAAUGAAUAAUAAAAAUUACUUUUGGACUUAUAACCCUCAAUGGUGCCCAAAAAUAAAAAUGACAGACACGGGCUCACCUUUUCAAAUCUCCCAAUAGGGAUAAACAUAUAAGUAGGUCACAAGACUACGAAGCUCACCCAUAAGCGGAGCAUAAUAGGAGGACUCACCUCAAUAUUCAGAACCGAAUCAAAUUAAGAAUAAUGCUCUCUUUUUUUAUUGUAAAUAGAUCCAUACUUGUAACGACACUAUCUGGUGUAUCGGUCUCAGCCAAAUCAUAGAAAUUAUAUCAACGGGUCGGGCCUCCACCUCUUAGGCGCCCUCUACCCGCCUGUCCUCCACCCCUAAUUGGUUGUGCCCGUGGAGUAUUAGCUGCACUGGGUCCAUAGUCUGAGUGUUCUGAUAAAAUCCACUCCUUCCAAGUCUGGGGCAAUCUCUCAUAAUGUGCCUAGUAUCACCACACUCAUAAAAACCCCUCUGAGGUCGCGAUUGCUCGUACUGAGUCUGUGCCGGAUAACUGGAAUAACCAUUAUAGGAAUCUCGUGCCGGUGGUGCAUCGUAAGAAGAGCACUCCAAGAAAUCUUAUGUGCGGACUGAGCUGGCCGACUGCUCGAGCCUCCGCUAUAAUGGGUCUUAGCUGAGGAGUAAAAUCCACUGAAUCCUCUAGAGCCUCGAGAUCGUUUGGCCUCCUUAGACUCCAUUUCCUCGCCUAGAACACUCUCAAUCUUCCUCGCAAUCUCCAUUACUUGUUGAAAUGGGGUAUCAGUUUGCAACUCCCGAGUCAUGUAUAUUUUAAUAUUAUAAUCGAGCCCCUCAAUGAAUCUGCGGACCCGCUCUCUGACUGUAGGAACCAAGAUAGGUGCAUGACGGGCUAACUCACUGAACCUGAUGGCAUAUUCUGACACUGUCAUAAUGCCCUGAUGCAAUCGUUCAAACUCUGUGCACCACGCAUCUCAGAAAGUCUGGGAACAAACUCUUUCAAAAAUAUUUCCGAAAAUUGAGCCCAAGUUGGUGGUAUUGCAUCGGCUGGUCUACCUUCUUCAUAGAUUUUCCACCACUGAAACGUUACGCCUGACAGUUGAAAUGUAGUAGAGGCAACUCCGCUCACUUCCACAAUACCCAUGGUGCGAAGAAUACAGUGACAAUUUUCUAGAAAUCCUUGGGCAUCCUCUGUAGUUGUGUAACUGAAGGUAAGUGGACUAUACCUUCUAAACCUCUCAAGUCUCUUUUGUUCUUCUUCUGAUGCCUCUGGCCUAACCUCAUGCUGAACCAGAAUAACAAGUUGUACUGGUACUACACCCGGAACCUGACCAACAUGAACUUGCUGCUCUGAAGUUGUGGUAGGAGUCUGAGCUACUCCCCCAAUCUGCGAAAUAUUUGGUGCAACAGAGAUCAAUCCCGCCUGAGUUAAUGUACCAAACAUACUCAGGAGCUGUGUUAAAGUCUCCUGAAGUCCGGGGAUAACAGCAGGUGCUUCUAGUACCUGUCCCCCAACUGGAGUUACUGGCUGCUCCUCAAUUGCUGCUCUGACAGGUGCUCUAGUCGCGACACGUGCCCUUUCUCGGCCUCUACCUCAGCCUCUGCCUCGGCCCCGGCCUCUUGCAACCCUAGUAGUAUGUGAGGAUGCCUGCUCAGCUAACCCGGUAGCGCGUGUCCUAACUAUCUGUGAGAGAAUAAAGAUAUAAAGGCUCAAAUUCCACAAUCAACAAAUCUGCACGACAGGAAUAAAAGAAGUGGAAAUUUUCUAACUGUUUUGUAGCCUAUCGAAGAUAAGUACAGACGUCUUCGUGCCGAUCCGCAAGACUCUACUAGACUCGUUCAUGACUCGUAGAACCUAUGAACCUAGAGCUCUUAUACCAACUUGUCAUGACCCAAAAUCCCACCACAGGCAUCGUGAUGGCACUUAGUCUCUAAGACUAAGUAAGCCGAUUUCAAUUACAUUUCAAGCCUUUUUUUUAUAUAUAGAAACUAGCAGCGUAAAUAAUAAAAUAACCUCCCAAGACUGGUAGUACUGAGUCACGAACUCUAACUGAAUACAUGCAAUGAUCUCAAGGAUCAAAUAAAUAGCAUUGUUCGAAUAAGAGUUGACAGUACAAUAAAAUGGAAAGACUCUAAGGGAUUGCGACGACCAAGCAGCUCUACCUUGAAUCAUUGCGAUCACACUUUAGCUCUGUCCGAGUCCGAUAUCUCCAACACAUGACUCUGCACAAAAAUAUGCAGAAGUGUAGUAUGAGUACACCACGGUCAGUAUCCAGUAAGUAUCAAGACUAACCUCAGUAGAGUAGAGACGAGGUAUAGUCAAGACACUCACUUGUUUAAUAACCUGUGCAAUAUAAUAUAAAAAAUAAUGAAAAACAAAUAACAAUAACGGCAACACAAAUCAAACAGUGAUAUGCAUAGCAGGGCAACAAGAACACCAUUAAUAUUGCUCAACAAAUAAUAAAUACAAGUACACCCAAUUAAAUCAAGUCCUUCAAAUAAAUGUCUUUCAAAUAUAAUUUUCUCAAAUAAAUAUCUUUCAAAUGCAAAUUCUUUCAUAUAAUAUUUUUUGAAUAAAAUUCCUUCCAAAUAAAUAUUUUGAAUAUAAUUCUUUCAAUUAAAAGUCACCAUGUGACACCCCAUUUCAUAAUCAUAAAAAUAUGGGUCUCACCCUUUUUUCAUAUUUAUCGUAAAUAUGGGUCUCAGCCCACUUUCAUAUUUUCAUGGCACUUCGUGCCCAAAAUUAAAUCAUUAUAUUUUCCUCGCACCUCGUGCCCACGUUUCAUAUCCCAAUUGCACGGACGAUUCACGUGUCAAUAUCAUCAUUAUUUACUCACGGCACCUCGUGCCCACAUUUUAUUUUAUAAUCCGCUUGGCAAUAGCCACAUGCUCUCAUUUUCAACCUAGAUUAGACUAUUAUCAAGUCUACCGAAACAACAAGACAAAUUUCACAAGAUAUAAAAAAAAACACAAGAAAGAUCACAACAUCACAUAGAAACUACCAAUGCAAUAACUCCACAUCGUCAUAUAUCAUCCCUGACAAUAUCCACUCUUAUCUCUCCUAUAGCCACCCUUAUCACUCUUAUAAUAGCCUCCCUUUAUCCAUCUGCCCUCACUAUAUCAAUAGCCACCCUUAUCGCUCAUAUAGCCACCCUUAUCGCUCCAAUAGCCAUCCUCAUCGCUUAUAUAGCUACCCUUAUCGCUCCGCCCAGAUAAUAUCCCAACAUACAUAACAACAGUGAAAUGCCUCCCUUAUACCCACAUAAUAUCAACAGUGAAAUGCCACCCUUAUAUCCUCAAAAUGAUAACUCAACUAACAUAACAAUUUACAUUGAAUAUUAUCACGGCAACGUAACAAAAUCAGUUCAUAUCACAAUUUGCCCAAUGGGUACAAUCAAUUUCAAGAAUAUAACAAAAUCAAUUAAUUUCACAACAAUCAGCCCAAUGCUCCACACAAAAACUCAAAAACAAUCAACAGAGAUAGAAAACAAUCAACAUAGGGCACACCUUUAUUAAUCCAAAUUUAGAUAAUUAUAUUAACACUUCUUCUUAAGCUUGCUUAAUUAAUUAUUUGCAUAGAGAAAAUUCAUAAUAAAAUUAAACUCCAAGAAAUAUCAAACCAUCAAACUCACGGAAUUCACAUAAGUAUACAAGUAAUAAUUAAAUCGAAUUGUCAUAUAAAAACAACUUCAAUAAUUGUAAUUUGUGGCAUGGCAAUUAGAUUAUUAAAUAUGUGCCAACAAUUAUCCAAUUUACUACACAAUAUACCGAAGUCUUUAUCUCAAUAAAUUUUGCACAUAUAAGCCCGAGUACGUACUCGUCACCUCGCGUACACGGCUUUUCACAUUUCAAAAAUGGCAUAAAGACUCGAUGCAUAAGGGGUAAUUCCCCCACUCAAGGUUAGGCAAGACACUUAUCUUUUUGAAGUUAUGCCGAUAUUCCAAAAUCACCUUCUUGCUUGAAUUAACCUCCGGACAGCUCAAAUCUAUCUAAAUUAAUUGUACAACUUCAUUAAAAUUCAUCAAAAACAAAUUCCGGAUAAUAAAACGUUGACUUAAAAAUUUAUUCUAAAAAGUCAACAAAAGUCAAUGUGGGGCCCGCCCCUCGGAACCCGACAUAAUUUCUAUGAAAUUCGAUCACUCAUUCCGAUACGAGUCCAACCAUACCAAUUUUAUCGAAUUCCAAUAACAACUCAACCUCCAAAUCUUAAAUUUUCGCUUUUGGAAGAUUUUGCAAAAAACUUGAUUUCUUCCAUUAAAAUUCGAAUUAAAUGAUAAAUAUAACCAUAGAUACAUGAAGUAUAAUCACUUUAGGAUGUAGAAAACUUACCCCAGUCGAAGUCAUGAAGAAACCCUCAAAAUCGCCCAAGAACCAAGGUCAAAAAUUAUUUCUUUUGUGUUAUGAACUCAAACCCUCGAUUUGGAAUUUGACACUGUCUGCCCAGAUUUCCUUCUUCGCGAACGCGACCGUCCUCUCGCGUACACAUAGACCAACUUGACUGCCUCUCCACUUUACUCUUCGCGAACGCGACACAUGACUCACGAACGUGAUGCUUUACUAGCUCAGACCUUCGCGAACGCGACCAUAACCUCGCGAACGCGUAGAACAAGGACCUGGGGUCCCCAACUUCCUCACUCCUCUUUGCGAACGCGACACUGCUCCCGCGUUCGCGAUGCACACGCAGACCACACUUUCGCGUUCGCGUCCUCCCCUUCGCGAAUGCGAAGAACAAAUCUCACCACUUAGAAAAUACUUCGCGAAUGCGAGGGCCCACUUGCGAACGCGAAAGAGGAAACCAGAAGAAUGCAACAGGAGAUAUUAGUAAUCUUCCCAAGGCCAAAAAUGAUCAGUUAACCACCCGAAACUCACCCGAGGCCCUCGGGACCUCAACCAAACAUACAAACGCAUCCCAUAACAUCAUAUGAACUUAGUCGAACCUUCAUAUCACCUUCAACAAUACCAAAAACACGAAUUACACACGGAUUCAAGUCUAAUGAACUUAGAAAUUUUUGAAUUCCACAAAUGACGUUGAAACCUACCAAACCAUGUCCGAAUGACCUCAAAUUUUGCACACAAGUAAGAAAUGACACAACAAAGCUAUUCAAAUUUCUGGAAUCGGAUUCUGACCCCGAUAUCAAAAGGUCAACCCCCCGGUCAAACCUCUAAAAAAUUUAUCUUUCGUCAUUUCAAGCCUAAUUCCACUACAAACCUCCAAAUAAUUUUCCAAAUACACUCCUAAGUCCAUAAUCACCAUACGGAGCUAUUGACAUCAUCAAAAUUUCAUUCCGGAGUCGUUUUCUCAAAAGUUAACUCUCUGGUCAACUCUUUCCAUUUAAGCUUCUAAAUAAGGAUUGUUCUUUUAAUUUAAUUUCGAAUCUUCAGUAAUUCAAACUCGACCACACCCACGGGUCAUAAUACAUAUUGCGAAACUUCUCGAGAUAUUAAGUCACUGAACGGGGCGUAAAUUCUUAAAACGACAAGUCGGGUCGUUACACAAACUAUCCAAAUGUGCCUUUGGGCAAGAUAGAGUGGAGUAUCUUGGCCACAUUAUCUCUUGUAAAAGGGUAGCUACUAACCUUACCAAGAUUGAUUCAAUGGUUAAUUGGCCUGUGACCAGGUCAAUGAAAGCUCUUAGGGGGGUUUUGGGACUCACUGGGUACUGCAGGAGGUUUGUGAAAUCUUAUGGAAUCAUUAGUAGAUCUCUAACUAACUUACUCAAGAAAAAUUCAUUCCAGUGGAAUGAGGAAGCAGAAUUGGCCUUUCAGCAACUGAAGACAGCCAUGUCUACAACACCUUCUUAGCCUUGGCUGACUUUACCAAAUCUUUUAUUGUUGAAAUUGAUGCUUGUGCUACAAGUAUAGGGGUUAUCCUAAUGCAAGAAGGGAGACUUAUAGCUUACCUUAACAACGCAUUAGCCUUGAAGAACGGGGGUUUAUCUACAUAUGAGAAGGAAUAUUUAGCUAUCCUAACUGUAGUAGAAAAGUGGAGGCAUUACUUGCAGGGUGGUUGCUUUAUUAUAAGAACAGACCAUCAAAGCUUGUAGUACCUUCUGGAGCAGAAAGUAACCACAACUCUUCAACAAAGGGGUCUUACUAAACUCCUGGGAUUGGAUUAUGAGGUUCAGUACAAAAAGGGAUCUGAAAAUAGGGCAACUAAUGCCUUUUCUAGAAGAAUGAAAGAGGGUGGAGAGUGUACAUUAAUUACUAGUCAUCUCUUCUACACAAGCUACCUAGUUACAAAAGGUAUGUCUCAACUAUGAGGGUGAUCUUGCAGCUUCUCAACUACUAGGAGCACUGACAGUAUCUACUAAGGACUAUUCCUUGAAUCAAGGGGUGAUCAGGUCUAAACAGAAAAUCCAUGUGGGAAAAGGAAAUGAACUAAGACAGAAAAUAUGGGAAGAGUUGCAUCAGUCACCAGUUGGGGGCCAUUUGGGUCAGCAGGGCAUACAUGAGAGUGAAGUCCAUCUUCUACUGGCCUAGCAUGAAGACAGAAAUUUUCAGGAAGGUGAGUGAAUGUGAUGUAUGUCAAAGGGUGAAGAAAGAACAAGUUCAUUCUCCAGGGUUAAUACAACCCCUCUCAAUACCUGAACAUGCUUGGCAUGACAUAUCACUAGAUUUUGUGGAAGGGUUACCUUUUUCUGGACAAAAGAGUGCCAUAUGAGUGGUAGUGGACAGGUUCACUAAAUAUGGGCAUUUCCUAGCACUUAAAUACCCCUUCACAACUCAAGAGGUGGCAGACCUAUUCCUUAAAGAAAUCUACAGGCUACAUGGGCUUCCCAAAACUAUAGUAUCAGAUAAAGAAGCUAUUUUCACCAGCCAUUUCUGAUAGCAUCUCUUUAAAACCUUGGGAACUAAACUCAACAUGAGCUCAGCAUAUCACCCACAAUCUGAUGGGCAGAAAGAAAGGCUUAAUAGAUGCUUGGAGACUCAUCUCAGAGCCAUGAUCUUUGAUAAACAUAAACAGUAGACUAAAUGGUUACAUUUGGCAGAAUGGUGGUACAAUACAAAUUACCACACUUCCCUUAAAACCACACCAUUUGAGGCUUUGUAUGGCUACCCACCAGUCUAGUUACCACUGGGAUUCCUAGCCAACCCAAACCAGAACUCAACAGGGGUGUGUCUAGCUCAAAGGCAACAAGCGCUUCAGACACUUAAAGAAAAUCUCACUCAAGCUCAGUCAAGAAUGAAGUUCUACGCAGAUCGACUAAGGAUUGAACGAACUCUGGAGGUUGGGGACCAAGUCUACCUCAAACUUUAGCCCUAUCGACAAUCUUCUAUUGAUGUAAGGAAAAAUGUUAAACUAUGUGCCCGCUACUAUGGCCUUACAAGACUUUAUAAAAGAUCGGAACAGUGGCUUACCGAUUAGAACUACCAGUAGUCUCCCAGCUACAUCCGGUCUUCCAUGUGUCUCAGUUGAAGAAGCGAGUGGGCCCUGCUAUAGUUCCUCAGUCGCAACCUCUAGUGCGUGAUGUAGAAGGCAUAGUAUUGAUCCAACCUUUGGCGAUUUUACAAAGAAGAAUGGUUAAAGUCAACAAUGGGGUAGCAGUGAAGGUGUUGAUUUAAUGGGCUAAUCUAGGAAAAGACGACGCUUCUUGGGAGGAUUGGGGCUAUAUCAAGAGCAGAUUCCCAGAAUUUAUGGCUCAACGACGACCUUGAGGACAAGGUUGUUCUUGAAGGAGUGGGGAAUGUUAUGUCUGAGGAA